GAGUGGCGAACGGGUGAGUAACACGUGGGUAACCUGCCCAUCAGAAGGGGAUAACACUUGGAAACAGGUGCUAAUACCGUAUAACAAUCAAAACCGCAUGGUUUUGAUUUGAAAGGCGCUUUCGGGUGUCGCUGAUGGAUGGACCCGCGGUGCAUUAGCUAGUUGGUGAGGUAACGGCUCACCAAGGCCACGAUGCAUAGCCGACCUGAGAGGGUGAUCGGCCACAUUGGGACUGAGACACGGCCCAAACUCCUACGGGAGGCAGCAGUAGGGAAUCUUCGGCAAUGGACGAAAGUCUGACCGAGCAACGCCGCGUGAGUGAAGAAGGUUUUCGGAUCGUAAAACUCUGUUGUUAGAGAAGAACAAGGAUGAGAGUAACUGUUCAUCCCUUGACGGUAUCUAACCAGAAAGCCACGGCUAACUACGUGCCAGCAGCCGCGGUAAUACGUAGGUGGCAAGCGUUGUCCGGAUUUAUUGGGCGUAAAGCGAGCGCAGGCGGUUUCUUAAGUCUGAUGUGAAAGCCCCCGGCUCAACCGGGGAGGGUCAUUGGAAACUGGGAGACUUGAGUGCAGAAGAGGAGAGUGGAAUUCCAUGUGUAGCGGUGAAAUGCGUAGAUAUAUGGAGGAACACCAGUGGCGAAGGCGGCUCUCUGGUCUGUAACUGACGCUGAGGCUCGAAAGCGUGGGGAGCAAACAGGAUUAGAUACCCUGGUAGUCCACGCCGUAAACGAUGAGUGCUAAGUGUUGGAGGGUUUCCGCCCUUCAGUGCUGCAGCUAACGCAUUAAGCACUCCGCCU
rnacentral:rRNA from 1 species